CUCAGAUUGAUUCAGUUUCUCUCUGUCUGAAGGUAUAUUCUCUUGCUCGCAUUGAUUAAUUUUCUCGCUGUCUGAGGGUAUAUUUUCUCGCGCAUAUAGAUUCAGUUUCUCUCCGCCAGAAGUUAUAUUCUCUUGCUCAGAUUGAUUCAUGUUCUCUUUGCCUUGGGGUAUAUACUCUGGAACGGAUUGAUUAAUUUUCUCUCCGCCUGAAGUUAUAUACUCUGGCUCGGAUUGAUUUAGUUUCUCUCCGCCUAAAGGUAUAUUAUCUUGCUCAGUGAGAUUCAGUUUCUCUCUGUCUGAGGGUAUAUGUUCUUGCGCAUACAGAUUCGGUUUCUCUCUGCCUGAAGUUAUGUACUCUGGCUCGGAUUGAUUCAUUUUCUCUCCAUCUGAGGGUAAAUACUCUUGUUCAGAUUCAUUCAGUUUCUCUCCGCUUAAAGGAAUAUUCUCUUGCUCGGAUUGAUUCAGUUUCUCUUCGUCUGAGGGUAUAUAGUCUUGCUCGGAUUGAUACAUUUUCUCUUCUCCUGAAGUUAUAUACUCUGGCUCGGAUUGAUUCAGUUUCUCUCCGUCUGAGGGUAUAUACUCUUGUUCAGAUUGAUUCAGUUUCUCUCUGCCUGAAUUGAUAUAUUCUUGCACGGAUUGAUUCAGUUUCUCUCCGCCUGAGGUCGUAUGCUCUUGCUCAGAUUGAUUCAGUUUCUCGCCGCCUGAGGUCGUGUGCUCUUGUUCAGAUUGAUUCAGUUUCUCUCCGCCUGUGGUCGUAUGCUCUUGUUCAGAUUGAUUCAGUCUUACUGAGUGUAUCUGCUCUACCUCCUCACUGUAUAAUAUGUCUUGUGUCUGGGAAAGUUCCGUGUGAGACACAAUUUGAAGACUCAGUACUGACUCGCUCUCAAUCAUCUGCCCAUUAAAGUGUUCACUGUAACUGGAUAUAGAUAAAUUCUCUAACUCUUGCUCCACCAAUCUAUCAAUUCUUUCUUCAUUAUUGUCCUCAUCAGAGCACAUCAUGGAGUACUCUCCAGGUUCUGUAAGUUCCUCAUAGGAUUGUUCCUCUUCUGCCUCCUGAAUCAACUGAUCUACUGCAUUCUCCUCAUCGUUCUCCUGUGUAGCAUGCUCCUUUGUUUGGCUAGCAUCCACGUCGUCUUGGUGAGUGGAGCCCAUGUUACGUUCCUGAUCUAUGACAUCCCCUUCUGACUCUUCAUACAGAUCCUCCAUGGUGUCAAACUGUUUGGACUUGCCUUCGCCCCAGGUGCCUGAUCCUGUCUGGCAAACCUCCCUGUCCUGUUCACCAUCACUGGAGUCACUUUCUCCCAUGUGUGAAGCCUGAGUGUUGGCAUCCGUCUCGUCACUCUUGUAACGGAUCAGGGGGUGUGUGUCGGCCAGUGUGUUGUCCUGAGCGUAGCUGUCACCUUCUAGCUCAGCCCUCCAUGAAACAGAAGUAUUUUGACAGUAGUUUGCCUCAUCAUGAUCCUCUUUGUCAUUGUCGGAUAGAUUCCGUUUCUCUCUGCCUAAAGGUAUAUGCUCUUGCUCAAAUUGAUUCAGUUUCUCUACAUUUGAAGGUAUAUGUUCUUGAUCAGACUGAUUUGGUUGGGUUUCUCUGUUAUUCCACAUCUCUUCCUCUUUCAUAUGAUCCUUUCCUUCUUGAUCCUUUCCUUCAUCCAUUCUUUCUCUAAUUCCAUUCUCUUCAGUGUAUCCUCCCACUCUAUCCCAUUCAUCAUUUACAUCCCCAUUGGGGUGCAAUGCAUAUUGCAUCUCACGUUUAUUAUACAUAUCAUUUUCAUCAUCCCCUUUUGUGAAAUUUAUAUCACCUUCCUCCAGUCUUUCAACAUGAUGAAAUACCUCUUCUGACCAGUGAGAAGCUUGAGCAGAUUCAUAUGAGAUAAUCACCUCUCGGUUGAACUUAUCGAUUCUUUCUGUCACACAAUUUUCCUUAUUGAACCCUGCCAAUCUUUCACAAUCAUCCUUACCAUACCCAUAGGGGCGCAAUUCAUCUUCCAAUUGCUCCUCAUCUUUGUUAGACAUGUAGUUUUCAUCAUCCUCUUUUGUGAGAUUAAUAACAUCUUCCUCCACUCUUUUAACAUGGUGAAAUGCCUCUUCUGAACCGUGGGAGGCUUGAGUAGAUGCAUAUGACAUAUUGUCCUCUUGGUUGAACUCUUUUGGCUUGUUGUACUCAAAAGCUUGACUGCUUGUGAAGGUCUCAAAUGCAGGUUCUAGCACUGAUUUAGUUUCAGACUCCAAGCCUUCUUUCCCCACCCAUUCAGCGUCUUUCCUUGCUGUUUCGAGAUCUCUUUCCUCCAAUGCAAUCAUGGGACCGUAAGGCAGAUCUAGUAGAGGUUCCUCCUUUUCAGAAGACAUUUCAAAAGGUACAUCAUUAUCAUCAUUUGCCGAGAAAGCAGAAUGUGCCCCUGUCACUGAACCUGCUCUCUCAUCCCUCACUGAAGGGCUGUAGAGCUCUUGAGCAUCAGUGCUGAACACAGUUGGCAUACUGAAGCUGAUCUCAACCUGGUGACUCAUGGCAGGUUCCAGAACUGGUUUGUCUUUAGCAACCCAGGUUCUGACUAUGUUCUGAUCCUCUUCCUCCUUUUCUAAAUCCCACAUGGAUUGUUCCUUAUGGUCAGAACCAAGCCAAGAUACAACAUCAGCUCCUGCCUCUUCAGUGGGAGGUGAGAGAGGCUCAGCAUAGUUGACUUCUUCAUGGACAUCUUGGGGUCUGAAGUGGUCGACUGAAAUUCCAUCCUGUGGUACUUUGGGGUAAGGCGUUGACCAAAUAACCUGCCGGUUGGACCCUAAGUCAAAGUCAACAUGCUCUUCCUCUGUCUUUCGACAACUCUCAGGUGUUUCGUUCAGGGUUACCUGGUUUUGAGUCCAGAUUGGUGAUGCGGACAUCAUUGUUACAUUGGAUCGUGGGCUUGCUCUAUGGAUGGUAGAGAAGGGACUGAUCAUGUGACUGGUAGCCAGCUGUGUCUGGAAGCUUUGCUUAACCCCUCGAGAGCUGGG
ensembl:lncRNA